rnacentral:lncRNA from 10 species
AUGUAGAUCAUUUCCAUUGCCACAGAAAGUUCUACUGGACAGUGCUGGUAGGGUAUUAAAGGUCUUUGUAGGGACUUCAGCUUUUACUCUGAGUAAAUAGAAAGCCAUUGGAGGGUUUUAAGCAGAGGAGGAACAUGCUCUGACUUAUGAUUUCGAAAGAUCACUGUUGAGAAUAGACUGUAAGGGGGCAAUGGUGAAAGUUGAUAGACCAUUAAUAGUCUAGAUGAGAGAUGACCAUGUCUUCGAUGAGGGGGUAGGAGUGAUGAUGAUGAUAAAUUAUUGGAUUUUGGAUAUAUUUUGAAGGCAGAACCAAUAGGCUUUUCUGAUGAAAAUGAUGUGAUAUGAGAAAAAAAUGACAAAAAGGUUGUGGGUGAUGAUGAGAGAAGAGAAUACAAGGCCAAAGAGAAGGGAUUUCCCUUGUUGUGGAGGAGUCUCACUCACCUUGAAGCAGGAGGGAAAGCAGGGAUCUGGGUGGAAAAAGAUCUAGAGAAUCCUCAUCUAAGCAGAAGAUGAAGGAGUAAAGAGAGAAAGAUGGGUGUAUUGGAAGCUUGCGGGUGAUGGAGAAAGUUUCAAAUAAUUCUUGGAAAAUAAGUUGAAAAAAGAAACGUAACACAGUUGUUAGAGCAGGGCAUGAUUGCUUGUGCCUAUAGUCCCAGCUACUUGGGAUCCUGAGGCAGGAGGAUCUCUUGAGCCCAGGAGAUGGAGGCUGCGUUGAGCUGUGUUUAUGCCACUGCACUCCAGCCUAAGCGACAGAGCAAGACUCCAUUUCUUAAAAAUAAAACAAAAAUGUAGUUGUUAGUAUUGAGGGCCCAUAAGAAGUUGGUGAUGAUGAACCUAUCUACGCUUUUGAUCACCUCCAGCAGAGUUUGACUGUUGCGUGCAAGCAAAGAGAAAGGAGAUGGCGGGGUUCAAUGAGGGCUGUCGUUUUCCUAGAUAGGUUUGUAGAAAAAACAGAGAGGAAGGGAGUUUAAGGGAUUGGCAAAAAGGAUAUAGUAAUAACAGACCAUGGAAUAAAAAUUGAGUAAGAAGGAAAGUGAAAACAGCUGAAGGCUAAUGAAUUGGGAGAAAGCAGAUGGAUCAAUAGACUGGAGGCCCCAAUAUUUCUAAGAGCAGUUGGAGUUGUUGUCAUGCAAGUUGGAAGGAAAGAUGCUUAUCCAAAAGCUGAAUGCCUGAAUCAGUAAUCUUGCGGCAGAGCUAUUGUAGGUGAUGACAAGGUCAGUCCUUUGAAGUCUAUGCAUAUAUAUCUUCAUUAUAGGCUGACUUGCCAAGUCUUAGAAUUUUUACAAUAUAACCUCACUGUGGAUCUCAUCUAAGCAGGUUUGGUAACCAAAAGCUCAAGAGCGUGAGAUUGAGACCCCAGAGAGCUCAUAGCCUGUCACAAACCAGCUGUGUAACCACGGACCUUGAGGAAAUGAACCUUAUGGUCCCUUCCGUCUCUAAUCUGUGACUCCAUAGCCCCAUUAUAAUAUAGCCUUUUCCCAAACACUGACCUUCAACAUAGACCCUGGGGGAUUUUUCUAUUAAAAAUUUGCAACUCUGCACAUUUUUAUCUGCUGAUGCCUCUUGGAAUAUUAAAUGCUUAGAAAGCUGUCGUCGGGAUCACAUUCUGGAAUCUUGACCAUGUAGUCAUCUGAGUGGGUGUGACAGGAAGUAUACACCAGCAGCAUUUGUGUCUGAGUGUCCUUCAGACACUGGGAUGGCUGCACCUUUACCCGUCCUCUCCAACUCUCUCCACCUAGAAAGUAUUCUUUUCUCUUAAUUUUGUUAGAGUUAUAUAGGAAUGCUCCUUCAGCAGAAAUGACAGAGGCUGUUGCUCUCAGAAUCAAAUGCAAUAAUGUGACCUGUAAAUUCCUGUGAAUAUUUGGAUAUUUUAGCGAUAUUUGUUUAUUCAGAAGAGAUUCUGGAUGCAGAACUCUCCUCCUCUCUGUUCUCUAACCCUGCUUUCCACCAUCAUUCUUCUCUCUCUAGGGCACAGAGAGAAUUAAGAACAACCUAAGGUAAAUUUUUAACAAGAUGGUCUAGCUUGAGCUCUGUAGGCUUGACUGAUGAAAUAAGUAGUAGUUUUUUGCUAAAAUAACCACAUUGUUUGCAAAAGUUUUCUCCUUUGAGUUUUCUAGGGUCAUUACAAUGAUCUAACUGCCUUACCUGCUUUUGAACUGGUUGAGCCUCUUGUGGGACCGAAAACAAAAGAAGGGUGUUGAAAUGCAAAUAGAUAACUCUGGGUCCCAGUCCCUGACUGCAAAAGGAAGCCAAAACUGACAACAACGUCUCCUUCUCUACGGAGGUUUGUAGAAAGGCUGUACAAAAAUCUCACAAGAUGUAUUUCUUCUCGUGGACUGGAGUCCCAAGGUAGGUGCUUAAGAGCUCUUCAAUUUGUUAAUGGAAAGAAACACCAUUUACACCGGAUGGCUACAAAGCAACCUUAUUCUGAGAGAGAGGAUCUCAUUCUGUCACCCAGGCUGGAGUGCAUGAUCAUAGCUCACUGCAGCCUCGACCUCCUGGGCUCAAGUGAUCCUCCUGCUCCAG